rnacentral:lncRNA from 1 species
UCACAUUCAGUCUAACCAUGCUGCUAAUUGCUAUUUUGCCUACAAUGCUGAAAGGUGUUGCUCAUUCCUACCUCCAUGGAAUAAGCUAUAGACCAGUCCCAGCCAAUCAGAGGCUCUGAUCUGAAUCAGCUAACUUGUCAAUAACCAACCAAAAGUACAACACUAUUUCCAAAUCUAAGAAGGCAAUUAGCAAGCACUUGCAACACAAACUGAGUUGGGGCCAUCUUCAGUUGCUGUAACUGAUCCAUUCUCUUGUACGGGUUUCACAUCGACAUUAGCCUUUACUACUUCUGUUGUUGAUGCAACAGUUGGUUCUUUUAUCAAGGCUGAC